rnacentral:rRNA from 1 species
GACGGACGCUGGCGGCGUGCUUAACACAUGCAAGUCGAACGGAAAGGCCCUGCUUUUGUGGGGUGCUCUAGUGGCGAACGGGUGAGUAACACGUGAGUAACCUGCCCUUGACUUUGGGAUAACUUCAUGAAACUGGGGCUAAUACCGGAUAGGAGCUCCUGCUGCAUGGUGGGGGUUGGAAAGUUUAGGCGGUUGGGGAUGGACUCGCGGCUUAUCAGAUUGUUGGUGGGGUAGUGGCUUACCAAGGCUUUGACGGGUAGCCGGCCUGCGAGGGUGACCGGCGACAGUGAGACUGGGACUAGGCCAGGCAGCAGACGGGAAGCAGAGGUAGGGGAUGGUAGACUAUGGGAGGAAGCCUGAGGCAGCAACGCCGCGGGCGGGAGGAGGGAAUUGGGGUUGUAAACGGAGAUCGCGUGUGACGAAGAGUGAGAGGACGGAACGGGGAGAGAAGGACCCGGCUAACUCGGGG